UACAGAGGGUACAAGCGUUAAUCGGAAUUACUGGGCGUAAAGCGUGCGUAGACGGUUAUUUAAGUCAGGUGUGAAAGCCCAGGGCUCAACCUUGGAAUUGCAUUUGAGACUGAAUAGCUAGGGUGCGGAAGAGGGAAGCGGAAUUUCCGGUGUAGCGGUGAAGUGCGUAGAUAUCGGAAGGAACACCAGUGGCGAAAGCGGCUUCCUGGUCCAGCACCGACGUUCAGGCACGAAAGCGUGGGGAGCAAACAGG
rnacentral:rRNA from 1 species